rnacentral:rRNA from 1 species
AUGGUCUUUAAGUUGGAUUUCAGAAAGGCAUUUGACUCCAUAAACUGGACCUCCCUCAUCCGCAUUCUUACAGUACGUGGCUUCCCCUCCAUAUUCUGCGACUGGGUCCAUGAUAUCCUCUCCACUGGCAAAACGGCUAUCCUUUUGAAUGGUGUUCCUGGACCCUGGAUA